ACAGAUGCUAAUACCGCAUAGAUCCAAGAACCGCAUGGUUCUUGGCUGAAAGAUGGCGUAAGCUAUCGCUUUUGGAUGGACCCGCGGCGUAUUAGCUAGUUGGUGAGGUAAUGGCUCACCAAGGCGAUGAUACGUAGCCGAACUGAGAGGUUGAUCGGCCACAUUGGGACUGAGACACGGCCCAAACUCCUACGGGAGGCAGCAGUAGGGAAUCUUCCACAAUGGACGCAAGUCUGAUGGAGCAACGCCGCGUGAGUGAAGAAGGCUUUCGGGUCGUAAAACUCUGUUGUUGGAGAAGAAUGGUCGGCAGAGUAACUGUUGUCGGCGUGACGGUAUCCAACCAGAAAGCCACGGCUAACUACGUGCCAGCAGCCGCGGUAAUACGUAGGUGGCAAGCGUUAUCCGGAUUUAUUGGGCGUAAAGCGAGCGCAGGCGGUUUUUUAAGUCUGAUGUGAAAGCCCUCGGCUUAACCGAGGAAGCGCAUCGGAAACUGGGAAACUUGAGUGCAGAAGAGGACAGUGGAACUCCAUGUGUAGCGGUGAAAUGCGUAGAUAUAUGGAAGAACACCAGUGGCGAAGGCGGCUGUCUGGUCUGUAACUGACGCUGAGGCUCGA
rnacentral:rRNA from 1 species